rnacentral:misc_RNA from 1 species
UGGUUAGGGAAUUAGAUUUUAUAUAUUGUAAUUAAGAAUUUGUUGUUAUAAUAAAGAAUUGGUGUAAUUAAAUAAGUUAAUAAAUAUUUAAAAAAGAUGUAUGUUGAGGUAUUAGAAUGUAAGUUUUAUGAAAUGAAAAAUAAAUUUUUUUGGAGAAUAGAUAUAUAGAUAUUAUAUUGUUUUUAUUUUAUGGAUGAGGAAAUUGAGG